rnacentral:rRNA from 1 species
GUGACUUUACCCUAGGGGUCACACCCGUUCCCAUUCCGAACACGGCAGUUAAGCCCUAGAGGGCCGAUGAUACUUCCCCAGACAGGGGCGGAAAAGUAGGUCGUUGC